AUUAAUUACAAAUAUUUGUAUUCUGUUUUUCAGCUCAAGAACCUCAGGCUCCAAAGCUGACAAGUCUCUACCUUGGAGUUCGUCCAACUGAAACACAAAAAAUUGUUGAAACAUUUGUUCCUAAGGAUCCACCUCCAGAGUUUGAGUUCAUGUGUGACCCACCUUCCAUCUCUGCCUAUGAUCUGGAUGUGGUCAAGCUGACUGCUCAGUUUGUGGCCAGAAACGGAAGACAGUUUCUUACUACAGUCAUGCAGAAGGAACAGAGGAACUAUUUGUUUGACUUCUUAAGGCCUCAGCACAGUUUGUUUACGUAUUUCACUAAGCUGGUGGAGCAGUACAC
rnacentral:sRNA from 1 species